rnacentral:tRNA from 1 species
GCCCCCAUAGCUCAGCGGUUAGAGCAGCGAGCUUAUACCUCGUAUCGUGUCUGAUAAACACAAGGUCCUGGGUUCGAAUCCCAGUGGGGGUACCA